CGGGAUAACAUUCUGAAAAGAAUGCUAAUACCGCAUGAUAUAUCGGAACCACAUGGUUCUGAUAUCAAAGAUUUUAUCGCUUGAAGAUGGACUCGCGUCCGAUUAGUUAGUUGGUGAGGUAACGGCUCACCAAGACCGCGAUCGGUAGCCGGACUGAGAGGUUGAACGGCCACAUUGGGACUGAGACACGGCCCAGACUCCUACGGGAGGCAGCAGUGGGGGAUAUUGCGCAAUGGGGGCAACCCUGACGCAGCAACGCCGCGUGAAGGAUGAAGGUUUUCGGAUUGUAAACUUCUUUUAUUAAGGACGAAAAAUGACGGUACUUAAUGAAUAAGCUCCGGCUAACUACGUGCCAGCAGCCGCGGUAAUACGUAGGGAGCAAGCGUUGUCCGGAUUUACUGGGUGUAAAGGGUGCGUAGGCGGCUUUGCAAGUCAGAUGUGAAAUCUAUGGGCUCAACCCAUAAACUGCAUUUGAAACUGUAGAGUUUGAGUGAAGUAGAGGCAGGCGGAAUUCCCCGUGUAGCGGUGAAAUGCGUAGAGAUGGGGAGGAACACCAGUGGCGAAGGCGGCCUGCUGGGCUUUAACUGACGCUGAGGCACGAAAGCGUGGGUAGCAAACAGGAUUAGAUACCCUGGUAGUCCACGCUGUAAACGAUGAUUACU
rnacentral:rRNA from 1 species